AACGUUUCGAAAGGAACGCUAAUACCGCAUGUGCUCUCGAUUUUCAGAAAGUUGAGAGUAAAGGAUUUAUUCGCUUCAAGAGGAGCCUGCGUCCCAUCAGCUGGUUGGUAGGGUAACGGCCUACCAAGGCUAUGACGGGUAGGGGACCUGAGAGGGUGGCCCCCCACAAUGGAACUGAAACACGGUCCAUACACCUACGGGUGGCAGCAGUAGGGAAUAUUAGAAAUGGACGAAAGUCUGAUCUAGCAACACCGCGUGUGCGAAGAAGGCCUUCGGGUCGUAAAGCACUUUUUGGAAGGAAUAGGGAGGAAUGUACUUCCAGAAUAAGUCUCGGCUAACUAUGUGCCAGCAGCCGCGGUAACACGUAGGAGGCGAACGUUAUCCGGAUUUACUGGGCGUAAAGCGCGUGUAGGUGGUUCUGUAAGUAGGGCGUGAAAGCUCCUGGCUCAACUGGGAGAGGCCGUUCUAAACUACAGAACUAGAGGAUGGUAGAGGGAGGUGGAAUUCCAGGUGUAGCGGUGGAAUGCGCAGAUAUCUGGAGGAACACCAGUGGCGAAGGCGGCCUCCUGGACCAUUCCUGACACUCAGACGCGAAAGCUAGGGUAGCAAACGGGAUUAGAGACCCCGGUAGUCCUAGCCCUAAACGAUG
rnacentral:rRNA from 1 species